rnacentral:piRNA from 1 species
UACUUGCUCCAUCACCAUCUGAUGGUCAAU